rnacentral:rRNA from 1 species
AUACGGAGGGUGCGAGCGUUAAUCGGAAUUACUGGGCGUAAAGGGUGCGUAGGCGGCUUGAUAAGUCGGAUGUGAAAGCCCCGGGCUUAACCUGGGAAUUGCAUUCGAUACUGUCAGGCUAGAGUAUGUCAGAGGUUGGCGGAAUUCCUGGUGUAGCGGCGAAAUGCGUAGAUAUCAGGAGGAACACCAGUGGCGAAGGCGGCUAACUGGGACAAUACUGACGCUGAGGCACGAAAGCGUGGGGAGCAAACAGGAUUAGAAACCCUAGUAGUCC